UCGUUGGUGGUUCAGUGGCUAAGACUCCACACUCCCAAUGCAGAGGGCCCGGGUUCAAUCCCUGGUCAGAGAA
rnacentral:tRNA from 1 species